rnacentral:rRNA from 1 species
AUAGCAUAUCAAUAAGCGGAGGAAAAGAAACUAACAAGGAUUCCCCUAGUAACUGCGAGUGAAGCGGGAAAAGCUCAAAUUUAAAAUCUGGCGGUCUUUGGCCGUCCGAGUUGUAAUCUAGAGAAGUAAUGCCCGUGCUGGACCGUGUAUAAGUCUCCUGGGAUGGGGCGUCAUAGAGGGUGAGAAUCCCGUCUUUGACACGGACUACCAGUGCAUUGUGGUAUGCUCUCAAAGAGUCGAGUUGUUUGGGAAUGCAGCUCAAAAUGGGUGGUAAAUUCCAUCUAAAGCUAAAUAUUGGCGAGAGACCGAUAGCGAACAAGUACCGUGAGGGAAAGAUGAAAAGAACUUUGGAAAGAGAGUUAAACAGUACGUGAAAUUGCUGAAAGGGAAACGCUUGAAGUCAGUCGCGUUGGCCAGGGAUCAGCCUUGCUUUUGCAUGGUGUACUUUCUGGUUGACGGGUCAGCAUCAAUUUUGACCGCUGGAAAAAGGCUUGGGGAAUGUGGCAGCAUUGGCUGUGUUAUAGCCCCUGGUCACAUACAGCGGUUGGGAUUGAGGAACUCAGCACGCCGCAAGGCCGGGUUUCGACCACGUUCGUGCUUAGGAUGCUGGCAUAAUGGCUUUAAGCGACCCGUCUUGAAACACGGACCAAGGAGUCUAACAUGCCUGCGAGUAUUUGGGUGGAAAACCCGAGUGCGCAAUGAAAGUGAAAGUUGAGAUCCCUGUCGUGGGGAGCAUCGACGCCCGGACCAGAACUUUUGCGACGGAUCCGCGGUGGAGCAUGUAUGUUGGGACCCGAAAGAUGGUGAACUAUGCCUGAAUAGGGUGAAGCCAGAGGAAACUCUGGUGGAGGCUCGUAGCGAUUCUGACGUGCAAAUCGAUCGUCAAAUUUGGGUAUAGGGGCGAAAGACUAAUCGAACC